UCUGUUUGAUUGCUGGUGUUUUCUUCUCCCAAGGGGCGUGGUUUUGACAGGUCAAUCCAUGUACUGUUCAUCUGGAAAGCCUCAUGGAGAAAUUCUCUGUUUCAGUUCUUAAAUUGUAGGGAUGCUUCCAUGCAGCCUUUUUUUUUCCCUUCAGUACCGAUCAUGCAUGGUAAAACCUGCUCCCCAGCCACCUUUUCCGUGACCCUUGGUAGAAUGGGGACCUUCACUGCCUUACAUUACUUUUAGGGACUAUGAUAUUGUUGUAGAAGUGUUCAAAGGCUUUCCUAUCAUCAUUCACGUAGAAUAAAAAAAUACAGAGCAAUGGAAAUGGUGGUGGGUUUAUAUUUCCUUGGAAUCAGGCUUUCUCUUCCUUGGAAUCAGGCUUUCUCCUUAGAAAUGAUGCUCCACUUCUUCCCUUCCGUUCUAUUUUAAUGAUGCCUGUUUGUUGGUGUGCAUGGGAAGCUGCCAUUAUAUUCCAUGAGGGGCAUAUUGUACUUGAUGUGUUUCAUCGAACCCUGAGCAUCAGUAUCCAACCCAAGCAACCUCAACCUGCACUUGUUAUGCCUUCCAAUCUUAUUCAUGCUCCUUGUAAACUUCCAUUUCGCAAAGUAGUAAUAUCGAAUUCAUUCCCUGGAUAUGAUAGGGCCUGUUCUGGCUUGCUUGAAAUGCCCCGAAGCUUUCUCGUUCAUUUGAUCUUUAUUUUUCC
rnacentral:lncRNA from 1 species